CAAUAGCGUAUAUUAAAGCUGUUGCGGUUAAAAAGCUCGUAGUUGGAUUUCUGUCAAGGACAACUGGUCCGCCCCUCGGGUGAGCACAUAGUUUGGUCUUGGCAUCUUGUUGGACACUGUUGCUGCCCUUGGUUGUGUGGCGCAGUGUCCAGCACUUUCACUUUGAGGAAAUUGGAGUGUUUCAAGCAGGCACAUGCCUUUGGACACAGUAGCAUGGAAUAAUUAGAUUGGGCUUUUGCUCCAACUUGUCGGUUUCUGGAGCUGAGGUGAGAAUUAAUGGGGAUUGUUGGGGGCAUCCGAAUUUAGCCGUCAGAGGUGAAAUUCUUGGAUCUGCUAAAGACGGACAACUGCGAAAGCGUUUGCCCAGGAUGUUUUCAUUGA
rnacentral:rRNA from 1 species